rnacentral:rRNA from 1 species
GUGAGUCAUCGAGUCUUUGAACGCACCUUGUUGCUCCUUGGUAUUCCGAGGAGCAUGCCUGUUUGAGUGUCAUUAAUAUAUAUAUCAAACCUUCUCUUGUUGAGUGGUUUGGAUGUGGGGGCUUGCUGGCCUGUUGAAGGGUUCAGCUCUCCUGAAAUGCAUUAGCAGAACAAACCUGUUCAUUGGUGUGAUAAAUUAUCUACGCUAUUGAAUGUGAGGUACAGUUCAGCUUUCUUAACAGUCCUUGGACAAUUUUUUCAUUAAUGUGACCUCAAAUCAGGUAGGACUACCCACUGAACUUAAGCAUAUCAAUAAGGCGAGG